rnacentral:rRNA from 1 species
GACGAACGCUGGCGGCGGGCUUAACACAUGCAAGUCGAACGGAAAGGCCCUGCUUUUGUGGUGUGCUCGAGUGGCGAACGGGUGAGUAACACGUGAGUAACCUGCCCUUGACUUUGGGAUAACUUCAGGAAACUGGGGCUAAUACCGGAUAGGAUCUCCUGCUGCAUGGUGGGGGUUGGAAAGUUUCGGCGGUUGGGGAUGGACUCGCGGCUUAUCAGCUUGUUGGUUGGGUAGUGGCUUACCAAGGCUUUGGAGGGUAGCCGGCCUGAGAGGGUGACCGGCCACAUUGGGACUGAGAUACGGCCCAGACUCCUACGGGAGGCAGCAGUGGGGAAUAUUGCACAAUGGGCGGAAGCGUGAUGCAGCAACGCCGCGUGCGGGAUGACGGCCUUCGGGUUGUAAACCGCUGUCGCCUGUGACGAAGCGUGAGUGACGGUAAUGGGUAAAGAAGCACCGGCUAACUACGUG